rnacentral:rRNA from 1 species
AUUGAACGCUGGCGGAAUGCUUUACACAUGCAAGUCGAACGGCAGCAUAGGUGCUUGCACCUGAUGGCGAGUGGCGAACGGGUGAGUAAUACAUCGGAACGUGCCCAGUCGUGGGGGAUAACGUAGCGAAAGUUACGCUAAUACCGCAUACGAUCUAAGGAUGAAAGCGGGGGACCGUAAGGCCUCGCGCGAUUGGAGCGGCCGAUGUCAGAUUAGGUAGUUGGUGAGGUAAAGGCUCACCAAGCCGACGAUCUGUAGCUGGUCUGAGAGGACGACCAACCACACGGGGACUGAGACACGGCCCAGACUCCUACGGGAGGCAGCAGUGGGGAAUUUUGGACAAUGGACGCAAGUCUGAUCCAGCCAUUCCGCGUGCAGGACGAAGGCCUUCGGGUUGUAAACUGCUUUUGUACGGAACGAAAAAGCUCUUACUAAUACUAGGAGUCCAUGACGGUACCGUAAGAAUAAGCACCGGCUAACUACGUGCCAGCAGCCGCCGUAA